GACGAACGCUGGCGGCGUGCUUAACACAUGCAAGUCGAACGGAAAGGCCCUGCUUUUGUGGGGUGCUCGAGUGGCGAACGGGGGAGUAACACGUGAGUAACCUGCCCUUGACUUUGGGAUAACUUCAGGAAACUGGGGCUAAUACCGGAUAGGAGCUCCUGCUGCAUGGUGGGGGUUGGAAAGUUUCGGCGGUUGGGGAUGGACUCGCGGCUUAUCAGCUUGUUGGUGGGGUAGUGGCUUACCAAGGCUUUGACGGGUAGCCGGCCUGAGAGGGUGACCGGCCACAUUGGGACUGAGAAACGGCCCAGACUCCUACGGGAGGCAGCAGUGGGGAAUAUUGCACAAUGGGCGGAAGCCGGAUGCAGCAACGCCGCGUGCGGGAUGACGGCCUUCGGGUUGUAAACCGCUUUCGCCUGUGACGAAGCGUGAGUGACGGUAAUGGGUAAAGAAGCACCGGCUAACUACGUG
rnacentral:rRNA from 1 species